UUCUCGUUAUAUCACCGAAGUUAAGCAUCAUUGGGCGCGGUCAGUACUUGGGUGGGUGACCACCUGGGAACACUGCGUGCCGUUG